GCUCUGUUUUUCUCGACAGGCUCCAGAUAAACACAGCAUCACCCCGCUGCUGUCUGCCACUUACGAGGGUCACGUGACCUGCGUGAAGAUUCUUCUAGAAAAGGGUGCUGAUAAGGAUCGGAAAGGUCCGGAUGGUCUCAGCGCGUUCGAGGCGGCCGAGAGCGAGGCCAUCAGAGAUCUACUGAAGUGAGUCGGACGCUGCCGGCAGCGGAGAGGUUCUGACCACAACCACUGGAUCCAGCAAACACACACACCUCUCUGUCUCUGCCCGCUGGCUGCUGCAGCUCCUCUAGGUUUCCUUUUGUUUUGUUUUCCUCCAUGACCUUUUUAUUUUAUUUGGGGGAGGU